rnacentral:rRNA from 1 species
UACGAAGGGGGCUAGCGUUGCUCGGAAUCACUGGGCGUAAAGGGUGCGUAGGCGGGUCUUUAAGUCAGGGGUGAAAUCCUGGAGCUCAACUCCAGAACUGCCUUUGAUACUGAGGAUCUUGAGUUCGGGAGAGGUGAGUGGAACUGCGAGUGUAGAGGUGAAAUUCGUAGAUAUUCGCAAGAACACCAGUGGCGAAGGCGGCUCACUGGCCCGAUACUGACGCUGAGGCGCGAAAGCGUGGGGAGCGAUCCGG